rnacentral:lncRNA from 1 species
CAGACAGAAGUGACGGGGAUCGACAGGCUCUGGGAAGUCUCGUGCCUCGUCUGCCUCCCAUGGCUGGCUCUGCUGCGCUGCUGGUGAUUUGUGAAAGUGAAGAUUUUACUUUGAAGUGCAAAAGCUGUUCCAUUUGUUGGUCAUAAAGACAUUUUUAGGCAAGUACAGGAGUAACGCUGGGGCCGUGAGGGAGUCUGACCGUCAGUCCUGAUUCUGGGCCCGUGACAGGAAGCGCCACGGGUCUGGGUUCCUGCCAUCCAUCGCUGGCCAUGCACCCUGCACCCACCACACGGGAAGAACCACAGGUAGAGUCAUUGAAUAACUGAAUAUUCAACGCACAAGGAGAUGUGUGUUGAAGAACCAAGAGGGAGCUGGCCACAAAGACAGGGCAAAAUUUUUGACAGUGUUGAAAUGUUUUUUUUCCUCUUGAUUCUGGACAUCCUGAAGUCACAAUAUCCAAUGCUCUUUCAGCAUUUUUAUGAUAAAAAGCAAUCACCUUAUUAGUGGCUGUGUUUAAAGCUAGCCAGACUGAGGCGGUAAACAGCACUGCAUUUAUUCGUGUAGGCGCUACGAACCUGAGCACCAACUGGGACCUCCAUGCGUGGACUGGGCCAUAGUGAGAGAGAGGCAUGGGGCAUAGUGCAUGGGAGAGGUGUCCUUGGUCCAAGGAUGAGUGAGAUGGUAUUAGAACCUCCCAUUCCUGCUGCAUCAAGACAUCAAAAAAAGAAGAAAAAU